UCGGAGGUAAAUUUCUCCUAAGGCUAAAUAUUGGCGAGAGACCGAUAGCGAACAAGUACCGUGAGGGAAAGAUGAAAUGUACUUUGAAAAGAGAGUCAAACAGCGCGUGAAAUUGUUGAAAGGGAAACGAUUGAAGUCAGUCGUACCGACGGAAAAUCAACUAUAUGAGUAUGAUUUUGUGGGUAGUGAAGAGCUUAACGGCCUUCAUAUUUGCAAAUUUGUAUUCUUGUGGUGUAUUUUUUCGUAUGGUGGGUCAACAUCAAUUUUGAUCGUUAUAAAAUGAUUGGGGGAAUGUAGCUUUGAUCUAGUAUUGAAGUGUUAUAGCCUCUGGUAGAUGUAACGAUUGGGAUUGAGGAUUGCAACGGAUGUCCUUCGGGGCUAUCCGCCUGAUCUCUGGAAGUCACUUUGGUAUCGAAAGCGUGCUUUCGGUAUUGAGGAUGGUGACCAAAAGGUUAGAGUAUGAUUAAAUUCGUUAAGGAUGUUGACGUAAUGACUUUAAACGACCCGUCUUGAAACACGGACCAAGGAGUCUAACAUAUAUGCGAGUGUUCGGGUGGCAGACCCUUACGCGUAAUGAAAGUAAUUUAGAUGGGAACAUGUUUACGUGCACCAUCGACC
rnacentral:rRNA from 1 species